GUUGACGUUUUGAUGAUGAAAGUCAGUGAUGGCUGCGGUGAGCGUACGGUGUUCAUAUGAUCCACAUAAACUUCUUCAAUCGACUAAACAUAAAAAAAUAUCUUGUGUUGUAUUUAUUUGUAUAAAAUUUUAAACUUAAUAUUUGAAUUUUAAUUUAACAUAAAAUUGUUGUAUUGCAGCAAUGUAUAUAUAUAUAUAUAUAAAGAAUAUUUUGUGCAAAAUUAAUUUGAAGGUUAUGUUUAAUGUAUAAUUUUUAUGGCACAUAUUAUAAAAAAUAAAAGAGGUAACCACUGCAACUGGUCGUAUCAACCGUAACAUCGUGUAUCAGGGGUAACUGGUGCCCGGCAGUCUCGAUAUGAUGUCUCAGGUCCAGGGACUCCGACUUGAUGGGAAGGUAUCUUGUGAGCGGCCUCUGCAUCCAUAAAUCAUUGAAUUUAUAAACCGUGAAACGAACUGUCAAGUUAAACUUAUAAUAUAUUGUUACACAUCCAAACGUGCGAAAAUAGAACUUAAAAUCAUGAAUAUUCUGAUACAAUAUCGUUCAAAAGUAUUUAAAUGCGUUAACUUAUUUUUUUAUCAAAUAUAAUUACGUCAAAUUAAUUACUUUAG